rnacentral:lncRNA from 1 species
UGCAGCGAUUAAGGAAUUAAUUACAGGAAGAAACCGAACAACACUCAUCUCUGUAGUCGAAAGCUUCUGAUCAAGGAGACAAGAUUAAGGUGUCCCAAACGUAACGCACAUCUUCUCUGUCACAUAAAAGUAUGUUUAUCUACCUAAAAUCCAUUUAAGGUUCAAGAACUUCUCUCCGACAUAAUAGUUAUGGAAGGGUUUCUAAGCUCAAACAAGAGAUCAUUAUGCUACAUUUCUAUAUGACUCAAGAAACAAUACGAGAGAAGACUCGAUGUGUACAAACCUCACGUUAUUUUUCAUUUCCAUGUGUAUAUUAAUAAUAUUUCUCAUGUAUAUGUGCUAUCCGUUCUAAGAGAGCAAUAUAUCAAUACAUUUAGAAUAGUUGUUUUU